GGGAUCUGUUCGGUUUGAGUGCGGGGAGACUGAUGACGUGGCGUCCAUCCAAUAGGAUGGAAUAUUUAAUCUGAACCAAGUUGGACUUUUGCUUCUGUUAUGGAAGGCCCGCCCAACCUCAGAGAGAGAGAGAAUAGGAAGGAAAACGGCCGGUCUUCUUCAAGGUUCGGGGAGGCCCUGGCUAAUUCAGGUCCGACCCACUCGGAUUGCCUGUUUCGGAUAGGUUAGGGAUGCGGCCUGGGCCAACUCGGCCCACCUCCAGCACUAGUGGAGGAUGAGGAGGAGGAG
rnacentral:lncRNA from 1 species